AAACUUUCAACAACGGAUCUCUUGGUUCUGGCAUCGAUGAAGAACGCAGCGAAAUGCGGUAAGUAAUGUGAAUUGCAGAAUUCAGUGAAUCAUCGAAUCUUUGAACGCACAUUGCGCCCGCCAGUAUUCUGGCGGGCAUGCCUGUCCGAGCGUCAUUU
rnacentral:rRNA from 1 species